rnacentral:rRNA from 1 species
AACGAACGCUGGCGGCAUGCCUAACACAUGCAAGUCGAACGAGACCUUCGGGUCUAGUGGCGCACGGGUGCGUAACGCGUGGGAACCUGCCCUUAGGUUCGGAAUAACUCCCCGAAAGGGGUGCUAAUACCGGAUAAUGUCUUCGGACCAAAGAUUUAUCGCCUUUGGAUGGGCCCGCGUUGGAUUAGCUAGUUGGUAGGGUAAAAGCCUACCAAGGCGACGAUCCAUAGCUGGUUUGAGAGGAUGAUCAGCCACACUGGGACUGAGACGCGGCCCAGACUCCUACGGGAGGCAGGAGUGGGGAAUAUUGGACAAUGGGCGGAAGCCUGAUCCAGCAAUGCCGCGUGAGUGAUGAAGGCCGUAGGGUUGUAAAGCUCUUUUACCCGGGAUGAUAAUGACAGUACCGGGAGAAUAAGCUCCGGCUAACUCCGUG